rnacentral:rRNA from 1 species
AGAGUUUGAUCCUGGCUCAGGACGAACGCUGGCGGCGUGCCUAACACAUGCAAGUCGAGCGGGGAACAUUGAAAGCUUGCUUUUGGUGUUUCUAGCGGCGGACGGGUGAGUAACGCGUGAGCAAUCUGUCUCAGACAGGGGGAUAACGCAGCGAAAGUUGCACUAAUACCGCAUAAGACCACAGAGCCACAUGGCAUAGGGGUCAAAGGAGCAAUCCGGUCUGAGGUGAGCUCGCGUCCCAUUAGGUAGUUGGUGAGGUAACGGCCCACCAAGCCUGCGAUGGGUAGCCGACCUGAGAGGGUGAUCGGCCACACUGGAACUGAGACACGGUCCAGACUCCUACGGGAGGCAGCAGUGGGGAAUAUUGGGCAAUGGGGGAAACCCUGACCCAGCAACGCCGCGUGAGGGAAGAAGGUUUUCGGAUUGUAAACUCCUGUCGUUAGGGACGAUAAUGACGGUACCUAACAAGAAAGCACCGGCUAACUACGUGCCAGCAGCCGCGGUAAAACGUAGGGUGCAAGCGUUGUCCGGAAUUACUGGGUGUAAAGGGAGCGCAGGCGGACCGGCAAGUUGGAAGUGAAAUCCAUGGGCUCAACCCGUGAAUUGCUUUCAAAACUGCUGGCCUUGAGUAGUGCAGAGGUAGGUGGAAUUCCCGGUGUAGCGGUGGAAUGCGUAGAUAUCGGGAGGAACACCAGUGGCGAAGGCGACCUACUGGGCACCAACUGACGCUGAGGCUCGAAAGCAUGGGUAGCAAACAGGAUUAGAUACCCUGGUAGUCCAUGCCGUAAACGAUGAUUACUAGGUGUUGGAGGAUUGACCCCUUCAGUGCCGCAGUUAACACAAUAAGUAAUCCACCUGGGGAGUACGACCGCAAGGUUGAAACUCAAAGGAACUGACGGGGGCCCGCACAAGCAGUGGAGUAUGUGGUUUAAUUCGAAGCAACGCGAAGAACCUUACCAGGUCUUGACAUCCGAUGCAUAGCUUAGAGAUAAGUGAAGUCCUUCGGGACAUCGAGACAGGUGGUGCAUGGUUGUCGUCAGCUCGUGUCGUGAGAUGUUGGGUUAAGUCCCGCAACGAGCGCAACCCUUGCGAUUGGUUGCUAACAGGUAAAGCUGAGAACUCCAAUAGGACUGCCGGGGACAACUCGGAGGAAGGUGGGGACGACGUCAAAUCAUCAUGCCCCUUAUGACCUGGGCUACACACGUGCUACAAUGGCCACUACAAAGAGGAGCGAAUCCGUAAGGAGGAGCAGAUCUGAAAAAAGUGGUCCCAGUUCAGAUUGUGGGCUGCAACCCGCCCACAUGAAGUCGGAGUUGCUAGUAAUCGCGGAUCAGCAUGCCGCGGUGAAUACGUUCCCGGGCCUUGCACACACCGCCCGUCA